CCGAGGAUUCGGUGGACGCUUCGAGGAGUUGAGGCGUUGACGCGGCAAGGAGUUGCAGCGGGGUCGAUUGGAGGAUUCCUAUCGAUCGAGGACCGGCGAAGACAGUCGACAAUGAGAAUUCGGUAAAUUGAGUCAUGUAUUUUGGUUAAAUCACUUGUACUCAAGUUUUCUUAGUGGAUUUUCUUCGUGUGAUCGGUCCCGUGGGUUUUUCACUCCGGAUUAGAGUUUUCCCACGUUAAAUCUCGGUGUG
rnacentral:lncRNA from 1 species